CAUCAUUUUACCGUAUCAACUUCCUGUUAUGUGUUUACAAUUUUUAUACGGUGUACAUGAAUGUCCAAAACAGACAUGGCAUAAAUAAUUGAAUUGUUUAUUUGUUUAUUUUUAUUUAUAUGCCUUGAUUGAAAAUAAUGUUAUUUACAUGUUAUUGCCAUGAGAUUUAAUCAAAAGGAAUUGGCAUUUAUCGCUCUUCAACCUGCUGAAACGUUUGACCUUCAAGGUUUGCUGUGGCUAAAAGAAAAAGACGGUCACUUUUGGCAGCGAACAGAAUGUGAGUGUCGUUCUUUGGUGUACUCUUGGGAACCUUUUUAUGUUUUAUUUUUAAUGUAGUGUACAUAUGAAAGUGAUAGUCUUUAAUUAAUAAUAUAUUCGAUCUGACAGUAG